CCUCCCUCCUCUUCCUCCUUCCUCCUCCUUCUCCUCUUCCUCUUCCUCCUUUCUCUCUUCCUCUUCCUCCUCCUCUUCCUUCUUCCUCUUCCUCUUCCUUCCUCUUCUUCUUCCUCCCCAUUCUCCUCUUUCCUCCUCUUCCUCACUCACUUUUGCUCCCUUCUUUCCUCUGCUUUUCCAUCCUUCCUGCCCUGUUUCCUCUUCCUCCUUCCUCUUUCCUUCCCUUUCCUUUUCCUCCUCUCCCUCUCCUUUUUCUCCUUCUCUUCUUCCUAAAUCCUCCUCUUUCUUUUCCUUCCUUUCUUUCCUUUUCUUCUCCUUCUUUUUCUCCUUCCUCUUCCUUCUCUUUCUCCUGACUCCCCUCCAUUUCCUUUUCCUCUUUCCUCCUUUCCUCUCCCCUCCAGUCACUUCCUCCCCUCUUCCUCCCCUCUUCCUCCCCUCUUCCUCCCCUCUUCCUCCCCUCUUCCUCCCCUCUUCCUCCCCUCUUCCUCCCCUCUUCCUCCCCUCUUCCUCCCCUCUCUCUUUCCUAUAUCUCUCCUCCUUCCUAUCCUUCCUUUCCUUCCUCCUCUCCUUCUCCCUCCCCUUCCUCCUUCUCUUUCCCUCCUAAACCUCUUCCUUCCUCCCCUCUCCCCCCCCAUCCUCCUCUUCCUCCUUAACCCCCCCAUCCCCCCCUGCCCCCCAACAGGACAACUGUCGCCUGACCCCCAACUCAGGCCAGGAGGACGCCGACAACGACGGCAUCGGGGACCAAUGUGACGAUGACGCCGAUGGCGACGGCAUCAAGAACGUCGAGGUUUGGGGGGGGUCACUUAUGGGGUC
rnacentral:lncRNA from 1 species